rnacentral:rRNA from 1 species
CAGCAGUAAACUAUGCGCGUUAGGUGUACUGGUGACCACGAGUCACCGGGGUGCCGAAGGGAAACCGUGAAACGUGCCGCCUGGGAAGUACGGUCGCAAGGCUGAACUUAAGGAUUGGCGGGGGAGCACCACAACGGGUGGAGCCUGCGGUUUAAUUGGACUCAACGCCGGAAAUCUCACCGGAUAGGACAGACAUAUGAUAGUCGGGCUGAAGACUCUACUUGAUGAUCUGAGAGGAGGUGCAUGGCGUAGACGUCU